rnacentral:lncRNA from 1 species
CGGCAUUAUAAGGAGCAAUAACUAAUUGAUCUUGUUUAGAAGUCAUUAAUCUACUGCAAAGGUUUCGAGCUCUAAUCUCUCGAGUACUAUGACCAGUUGAAAUAACAGAUGGAUCUACAAAAACGUACUUUGAAACCUUCUUUAAAUCAAUAAUGAGUGAAUGUAAGUACCUACAAUAAAUUCAUUGCACACAUCAACUUAUUACUAAUUAAAAAGUGUGAGUACAUAUAUCAUAAAGAAAUAACAUUUACUUACGUGAUAUAAGCAACAAUUGAUAAAGUCUUCA